GUUAACCCAGUAAAAAAGAAGCGUACGAUCCUUUGUUAAGAUGGCGACCUAGUUAGUUAAGAACAUGAAAACGUGUUGACGUAGACUCCUUAUAUCAUAAAAAGAUAAAAGCAGACGAGAUUUGUCGGAGUUUAUUAGCAACUCUCGUCAUGAAGCGGAUCAGAUUCUUCUCGACGACAGCAAGUGUACUAACACGGACCUAUUGAGUGUUUAUUGCUGUAAACGAUCCUAAUGUAUCAUACAGACACCGCAAGAAGGAGCUGUUCCUUCGUCCAUAAAAGUUAACCCAGUAAAAAAGAAGCGUACGAUCCUUGGUUAAGAUGGCCACCUAGUUAGUUAAGAACAUAAAAACGUGUUGAUGUAAACUCCUUAUAUCUUAAAAAGAUAAAAGCAGACGAGAUAUGUCGGAGCUUAUAAGCAACUCUCGUCAUGAAGCGGAUCAGAUUCUUCUCCACGACAGCAAGUGU